rnacentral:misc_RNA from 1 species
AGGAUGCCUCGUAGAAUAUCAUCAUCUAGAGGUAGAGGACGGGGUCGACAGGACACAAUGUCUCAACCCAUGCAGUCUUUGAGGGAUGAACAAAAUGAAGACCAAAGCAUAGGACAUGAGCCACUACAGUUGCCAGUGGAUACUCAAGUUUCACCUACUCCACUACAAUUAGGGGGGCAAGUAGCAGCAUCGUCAUCAUCAUCAGUUCGAACUAGAGGUCCGAAUUUAGGGCAGCCAACACCAGUAAACCCAACAAAUCGACAAAUGAUAAGAUUAAGGGGCCUUGUCUUCUCGGAUAUAUCUGUCUCUCGCUCAAUAACCAAUGACAUUAAGAUGCACUUUACAGCUCCAUGGAAAACUUGGGCAAAAAUACCCAUCAAGAUGAAGGAUGAGCUAUUUGGAAAAUUUCAAGGUCGUUACAUGUGGGAUGAAACUGAAGAGCAGAAUGUGCGUCUUGCUUGGGAUAAGCUUGGGAAGGAUAGAUUUCGUGAUAUUCUUAACAGAGCUAGGAAUGAAAUGUUGGUGAAGCACAAAAAAAGUGAUAUUGCUUAUUUGCACAAUCUAGGACCAAACUGGAUGAAAGCAGAGGUGUGGAAUGAGCUUGUUGAUUAUUGGAGUUCUCCAGAGUGGCGAAAGAAGUCACAAUCUGCUAAGAUUAAUAGAAUGACAGUAAAAGAUGGGUCAAUUACAAAACAUGCUUGUGGUUCAAUCAAAAUUGAGAUUCAUGAGGAUCGAUUGACAAAGAAGUUAGAUAGGCCACCAAAUAAGAUUGAAGUAUUUCGAGCAACUCACACCAAAAAGGGUGUUGAUGGUGUAUUCAUUGAUGGCAAAUCACAACGGGUCGAUGAAGAUUAUGCAAGUGCAAUUGUGGAGAAAUAUGGUUCUAAUUCUGAAUCCCCACCAAUAUUUGAUAUGGAUAAGUGGAUAGAAGUAUCUGGAAGGUUUAAUAAAGGAAGGGUGUAUGGUUUUGGGUCUUCUGCAAAAUCUCAAACAAGUGGAUCAUCUACCUCUCAAUCAUGCACAUCUGCUUAUCCUGGGUCAUCUUCUCAGCCUGCGAUGACACAAGAGGAAAUUCAACAACUUAUAGAUGAAAAAGCAUCACGAAUGAGGGCAGAGAUGAUGGCUGAAAUACUUGAUCAGGUGCGAAAGGAGUUAAAGACCACAGGUGGUACUCAGUUUGCAACAUCUUCACAUCCAACCACUUCAGACUCUACAAAUCCAUAGGAUAAUCUAGAUAAUUGAUUAUGCUAUUUAUGUUUCUGUUUAAAGAUAUUAUUAUGUGCGGAAUAUUAAUAGUAUUUUUUCUGAAUAUGAUUGUAUUUUAACUUACAUUUUAUUAAUUUAACUACUUUGUAUGGAUUAUUUGACA